AAGUCGUAACAAGGUCUCCGUAGGUGAACCUGCGGAGGGAUCAUUAUUGAAAGGUCCUUGACCUUUGACCCCUCAGACCUGUGGAAGAGAGAUGUGUUUCGACGCUUCGGCGUCGCUUUUAUGCCCAAAUCAGUCUGUGUCUGAAUGGAAAACAUUAAGAAUUAAAACUUUCAACAAAGGAUCUCUUGGCUCUC
rnacentral:misc_RNA from 1 species